GAUGAAGAACGUAGCGAAAUGCGAUAAGUAAUGUGAAUUGCAGAAUUCAGUGAAUCAUCGAAUCUUUGAACGCAUCUUGCGCUCCUUGGUAUUCUGAGGAGCAUGCCUGUUUGAGUGCCAUUAAAUUCUCAACUACACUGACUUUGAAUUGGUGUGGCUUGGAUUUGGGGGGAAAAUUGUUGUGGGCUUUUUGUAUAGUCUGCUCCCCUGAAAUUGAUUAGCGGUACCUUUGUGGAACUGUCUACAGGUGUGAUAAUUAUCUACAUCUUAGACAUCUGCUGGAAUGCUGCUCUCUAAACCUUACUUGUAUUGACAAUCUUGACCUCAAAUCAGGUAGGACUACCCGCUGAACUUAAGCAUAUCAAUAAGCGGAGGA
rnacentral:misc_RNA from 1 species